rnacentral:tRNA from 1 species
GGACUGGUGGUGUGGUGGUAACACAUUGCGUCCGGACGUGACAAGGAAUGGUUCGAUUCCCUUCUGGUCCA